GGGUCAUCUGCUGAUCUCCAUGAUAUCGGGAUGUGUUGUAUACCUGUCCUUCGGUUGAACCAAAGUUUCAUUCCAGGUAGCACAGUAUCUGUAGGAUGAUCAAAGCUCUGCCACACAACUCUUUUACUUUUAUUGUGAACCAAAAUCAAAUUUCUCGUAUCCAAGAGCUGAGCUACACAAGUAUCUGUAACCUCUGCUGAGACAUUUGUAGACCAUAUAGGAACUUUCUGGUUAUGAUAGCUGCGGAGAACCAGAUUUCCAUAUUGGUCAAUUGA
rnacentral:misc_RNA from 1 species